AGAGUUUGAUCCUGGCUCAGGAUGAACGCUGGCGGCGCGCCUAAUACAUGCAAGUCGAGCGAACGGACGAGAAGCUUGCUUCUCUGAUGUUAGCGGCGGACGGGUGAGUAACACGUGGAUAACCUACCUAUAAGACUGGGAUAACUUCGGGAAACCGGAGCUAAUACCGGAUAAUAUUUUGAACCGCAUGGUUCAAAAGUGAAAGACGGUCUUGCUGUCACUUAUAGAUGGAUCCGCGCUGCAUUAGCUAGUUGGUAAGGUAACGGCUUACCAAGGCAACGAUGCAUAGCCGACCUGAGAGGGUGAUCGGCCACACUGGAACUGAGACACGGUCCAGACUCCUACGGGAGGCAGCAGUAGGGAAUCUUCCGCAAUGGGCGAAAGCCUGACGGAGCAACGCCGCGUGAGUGAUGAAGGUCUUCGGAUCGUAAAACUCUGUUAUUAGGGAAGAACAUAUGUGUAAGUAACUGUGCACAUCUUGACGGUACCUAAUCAGAAAGCCACGGCUAACUACGUGCCAGCAGCCGCGGUAAUACGUAGGUGGCAAGCGUUAUCCGGAAUUAUUGGGCGUAAAGCGCGCGUAGGCGGUUUUUUAAGUCUGAUGUGAAAGCCCACGGCUCAACCGUGGAGGGUCAUUGGAAACUGGAAAACUUGAGUGCAGAAGAGGAAAGUGGAAUUCCAUGUGUAGCGGUGAAAUGCGCAGAGAUAUGGAGGAACACCAGUGGCGAAGGCGACUUUCUGGUCUGUAACUGACGCUGAUGUGCGAAAGCGUGGGGAUCAAACAGGAUUAGAUACCCUGGUAGUCCACGCCGUAAACGAUGAGUGCUAAGUGUUAGGGGGUUUCCGCCCCUUAGUGCUGCAGCUAACGCAUUAAGCACUCCGCCUGGGGAGUACGACCGCAAGGUUGAAACUCAAAGGAAUUGACGGGGACCCGCACAAGCGGUGGAGCAUGUGGUUUAAUUCGAAGCAACGCGAAGAACCUUACCAAAUCUUGACAUCCUUUGACAACUCUAGAGAUAGAGCCUUCCCCUUCGGGGGACAAAGUGACAGGUGGUGCAUGGUUGUCGUCAGCUCGUGUCGUGAGAUGUUGGGUUAAGUCCCGCAACGAGCGCAACCCUUAAGCUUAGUUGCCAUCAUUAAGUUGGGCACUCUAAGUUGACUGCCGGUGACAAACCGGAGGAAGGUGGGGAUGACGUCAAAUCAUCAUGCCCCUUAUGAUUUGGGCUACACACGUGCUACAAUGGACAAUACAAAGGGCAGCGAAACCGCGAGGUCAAGCAAAUCCCAUAAAGUUGUUCUCAGUUCGGAUUGUAGUCUGCAACUCGACUACAUGAAGCUGGAAUCGCUAGUAAUCGUAGAUCAGCAUGCUACGGUGAAUACGUUCCCGGGUCUUGUACACACCGCCCGUCACACCACGAGAGUUUGUAACACCCGAAGCCGGUGGAGUAACCUUUUAGGAGCUAGCCGUCGAAGGUGGGACAAAUGAUUGGGGUGAAGUCGUAACAAGGUAGCCGUAUCGGAAGGUGCGGCUGGAUCACCU
rnacentral:rRNA from 1 species